rnacentral:rRNA from 1 species
GACAGAGGGUGCGAACGUUGUUCGGAAUUACUGGGCGUAAAGCGCAUGUAGGCGGCAGCGCAAGUCGGGCGUGAAAUCCCACGGCUCAACCGUGGAAGUGCACUCGAAACUGCGCAGCUAGAGUCCUGGAGAGGAAGGUGGAAUGCUUGGUGUAGAGGUGAAAUUCGUAGAUAUCAAGCGGAACACCGGUGGCGAAGGCGGCCUUCUGGACAGUGACGUGACGCUGAGAUGCGAAAGCGUGGGGAGCAAACGGGG